AACGAACGCUGGCGGCAGGCUUAACACAUGCAAGUCGAACGGUCCCUUCGGAGGCAGUGGCAGACGGGUGAGUAACGCGUGGGAACAUACCUUUCGGUACGGAACAACAGUUGGAAACGACUGCUAAUACCGUAUACGCCCUGAGGGGGAAAGAUUUAUCGCCGAGAGAUUGGCCCGCGUUGGAUUAGCUAGUUGGUGGGGUAAUGGCCUACCAAGGCGACGAUCCAUAGCUGGUCUGAGAGGAUGAUCAGCCACACUGGGACUGAGACACGGCCCAGACUCCUACGGGAGGCAGCAGUGGGGAAUAUUGGACAAUGGGCGCAAGCCUGAUCCAGCCAUGCCGCGUGAGUGAUGAAGGCCUUAGGGUUGUAAAGCUCUUUCGCCGGUGAAGAUAAUGACGGUAACCGGUAAAGAAGCCCCGGCUAACUUCGUGCCAGCAGCCGCGGUAAUACGAAGGGGGCUAGCGUUGUUCGGAAUUACUGGGCGUAAAGCGCACGUAGGCUGACUUUUAAGUCAGGGGUGAAAUCCCGGGGCUCAACCUCGGAACUGCCUUUGAUACUGGAAGUCUUGAGUCCGAGAGAGGUGAGUGGAACUCCGAGUGUAGAGGUGAAAUUCGUAGAUAUUCGGAAGAACACCAGUGGCGAAGGCGGCUCACUGGCUCGGUACUGACGCUGAGGUGCGAAAGCGUGGGGAGCAAACA
rnacentral:rRNA from 1 species